ACUGUGGCACUGACAAAUUGCCAUCUGAAAUCCAGCUGUCUGGGGGGCCUUUCCCACGCGGCUCCCCCCCAUGUUAGCUGUUGUCUGUGCACAGCUGCCCAGGGCUCCUGCAGCCGUGCGGGAGGGGAUGCGUGUUCACUCCUGGCUGCUGAAGAGCUGGGGAUACUUUAUUCCUGUAAUUUCUUUAAGGGGAAGAGGAGAUGUGGAGGAGCAGCUCAGAGGAUUCAACACAGCAGAUACGCCGCGCCAGCAAGUCUGAGGUCCAGUGCGCCACACCAGGGCUGUGGUGACACUAUUGUGGGCAGGGUUUUUGCUAAGAGAUCUUACCUGUUCUUCCUACCCACGGGCACAAAAGUUGGUAAAUGUGCAACGAGGAUGUGUUAAUUUGCUUGACUACUGUAACCAUUUCACUACGUGCAUUUCAAAACCUUACGUUGUGCACCUUAAACAUAUUACAAUAAAAUUUAUUUUAGCUGGGUGAGGUGGUGCAUGCCUGUAA